GACGAACGCGGCGGCGUGCCUAAUACAUGCAAGUCGAACGAACCGCGACUGAGUGCUUGCACUUGGUCAAGGUGAGUGGCGAACGGGUGAGUAACACGUGGGUAACCUACCUCAUAGUGGGGGAUAACAGUCGGAAACGACUGCUAAUACCGCAUAGGACAUGGGAUCACAUGAUUCUGUGAGGAAAGGUGGCGCAAGCUAUCGCUAAGAGAUGGACCCGCGGUGCAUUAGCUAGUUGGUAGGGUAACGGCCUACCAAGGCGAUGAUGCAUAGCCGACCUGAGAGGGUGAUCGGCCACAUUGGGACUGAGACACGGCCCAAACUCCUACGGGAGGCAGCAGUAGGGAAUCUUCCGCAAUGGACGCAAGUCUGACGGAGCAACGCCGCGUGAGUGAAGAAGGUCUUCGGAUCGUAAAGCUCUG
rnacentral:rRNA from 1 species